UGGGGAGCUCUACCAUAUGGUCGACCUGCAGGCGGCCGCGAAUUCACUAGUGAUUCGUAUUACCGCGGGUGCUGGCACGUAGUUAGCCGGUGCUUAUUCUUCAGGUACCGUCAUUAGCCGAGGAUAUUAGCCUCGACCGUUUCUUCCCUGACAAAAGAGCUUUACAACCCGAAGGCCUUCUUCACUCACGCGGCAUUGCUGGAUCAGGCUUGCGCCCAUUGUCCAAAAUUCCCCACUGCUGCCUCCCGUAGGAGUCUGGACCGUGUCUCAGUUCCAGUGUGGCUGGUCGUCCUCUCAGACCAGCUACUGAUCGUCGCCUUGGUGAGCCUUUACCUCCCCAACUAGCUAAUCAGAUAUCAGCCGCUCCAGGAGCACAAGGCCUUGCGGUCCCCUGCUUUCAUCCUUAGAUCGUAUGCGGUAUUAGCGUAACUUUCGCUACGUUAUCCCCCACUCCAGGGUACGUUCCGAUAUAUUACUCACCCGUUCGCCACUCGCCGCCAGGGUUGCCCCCGCGCUGCCGUUCGACUUGCAUGUGUAAAGCAUGCCCCCCGCGUUCAAUCUGAGCCAUGAUCAAACUCUAAUCGAAUUCCCGCGGCCGCC
rnacentral:rRNA from 1 species